rnacentral:misc_RNA from 1 species
GAUGAAGACGUAGCGAAAUGCGAUAAGUAAUGUGAAUUGCAGAAUUCAGUGAAUCAUCGAAUCUUUGAACGCACAUUGCGCCCUCUGGUAUUCCGGGGGGCAUGCCUGUUCGAGCGUCAUUACAACCCUCAAGCUUUGCUUGGUAUUGGACAUUGCCAGUUUCUGGCAGGUCUUAAAAUCAGUGGCGGUGCCAUUUGGCUUCAAGCGUAGUAAUUCUUCUCGCUUUGGAGAUCCAAGUGGUUACUUGCCAAUAACCCCCAAUUUUUUCAGGUUGACCUCGGAUCAGGUAGGGAUACCCGCUGAACUUAAGCAUAUCAAUAAGCGGAGGA